CAUCCUUCUCUGUUCACAAUUCUUCGCCUGCCGCUACUUUCGGUUAAAAAGAAACCUUCCUUGCAUUUACUGGCUUGGUUGCAUUUUCUGGCUUGCUGCGUGCUUGCGAAGCCCUAAUCCUCUCUGAUAUUGUUCUCCUUUGCCUUUUUACCUUACAGGUGACGUGCUGCAAUGGCCGAUUUUGUUCCACUAAGUACUCGUUUGGGACCUAUUGGUACACUGGCGCUCUGCUAUACUGCUGCCAUCUUCUUGAACGCUGGGGAGAAACUUGUGACAAUGAAGUGGAAGGAGUGGAAGGAAGCCA